UGCCACAGCCAUAUCACCCUGCAGCCCAACACUGAAGCCAAGCAGGGCUGAGCCUGUUCAGUACCUGGAUGGGAGACCACAUGGAAAAACUAGGUUGCUGUUGGAA
rnacentral:rRNA from 1 species